rnacentral:rRNA from 1 species
AGACGUCUACAUUAGAUACCCCUGUAGUCCCAGCCGUAAACUAUGCGCGUUAGGUGUAUCGGUGACCACGAGUCACCGAGGUGCCGAAGGGAAACCGUGAAACGUGCCGCCUGGGAAGUACGGUCGCAAGGCUGAAACUUAAAGGAAUUGGCGGGGAGCACCACAACAGGUGGAGCCUGCGGUUUAAUUGGACUCAACGCCGGGAAGCUCACCGGAUAGGACAGCAGAAUGAUUGCCGGGCUGAAGACCCUGCAUGACUAGCUG